AUGACAUGUGCUGUGGUUGAAAAGUCGAUGUCAGUCGCAGACCAAGCGAUCCACGUAAGGCAUCCAAAGCGAUGCUGAUCAUAGUGCGGCCUAGAAGUAAGACCUGACCGCGUAAAAAACGCGAGAGGGCCAGUAGUGGGGGACAAGACGUCUAUGAGCGAACGUCCCAGCAGGCGAGUGUGGGGGUAAAGACCAGGUCAGGCAUGUCGG
rnacentral:ncRNA from 1 species